GUGUGUCUAAACAAUUCAGACUAAUUGCCAAAUCUCACAAUUCGAAUCAUGGAAAGGGAUACCGUAACCAUAAUCGAAUUCGAGAAUUCAAUUUCACAAUCACUAUCUUCUUAAAAUCUUUCUUAGUGAAAGCAUUUCCUCACAGUCACUUUCAUGAAGGAGGGAAUCUUAUGACACUUAGAUUUUAAUGGUGUAUGUGUUCCUAUCCAUGUGAAUUUGUCAAAACCAAAGUUUACGACAAAUUCAAACUCAUAUGGACCGAACUUUCUUAAUCUUGAUUUCUUGCCUUAUGGUAGCACGGCUGCCCACCAUGUCUUCCAAGUAGUUAAGCAGCUUACCCUUUCCUAUCAAUGUACUUUCCAUUGAUCAAGGUCCUUGCCUUUUAUGCAUUCAAAUGAGAACUCAUAGGNUGCCUUUUAUGCAUUCAAAUGAGAACUUAUAGGACCCACAUGCAUAAUUAACUCAAUCGGAACGGCACAGAAACAAAAUAGUGUCAAUGCGAUAGGUUGUAAACCUCAACUCAUGUGCUAGUGAUGAUCAAUAAGGUCUAUUUUGAUUUGUUCUUGAAACCUUUCAAGACCAUUAAGACUCCCACUAACUCCUUGACAUAUAAGAUUCUCUUGUCAAUAAACAUUUCUUGACAAACAAAUAUUCAAGAGUUAGUGUAGUUUUUAUCAAAACACUUCAUAAAUUGGUCCUAGUUGGUCUUUGUCUUAUCCAAGACAUCACAACUUUCCACAUUUGAUGAAUGUUAUAAACCUUCUUAAUACUUAUCACUCAAUGUCACAAUCUUAACUCUAAGACUUGUUUUGGAACGAAGUAUGAUU
rnacentral:lncRNA from 1 species